GCAUCACUUCGGGUACAUCUGAUAAAUUUGGAACGAUGCAGAGAAGCCCCUGCGCAAGGAUGACACGCACAAAUCGAGAAAGGGUCCAUAGGGAG
rnacentral:snRNA from 1 species